AGGGGCGUAGUUCAACGGUAGAAUAGGAGUCUCCAAAACUUUUGACGAGGGUUCGAUUCCUUCCGCCCCUG
rnacentral:tRNA from 1 species